UCCGUUGUAGUCUAGUUGGUUAGGAUACACGGCUCUUACCCGAGAGACAUGGGUUCGAUUCCUAGCAAUGGAA
rnacentral:tRNA from 1 species